UACGGAGGGGGCUAGCGUUGUUCGGAAUUACUGGGCGUAAAGCGCACGUAGGCGGCUUUGCAAGUCAGAGGUGAAAGCCCGGGGCUCAACCCCGGAAUUGCCUUUGAGACUGCAUCGCUAGAAUUGUGGAGAGGUAAGUGGAAUUCUGAGUGUAGAGGUGAAAUUCGUAGAUGUUCGGAAGAACACCAGUGGCGAAGGCGACUUACUGGACACAUAUUGACGCUGAGGUGCGAAAGCGUGGGGAGCGAACAGG
rnacentral:rRNA from 1 species